AGCUGUAAGUAAGCGUUGAUCCAGAGAUUUCCGAAUGGGGGAACCCAGCAUGAGUUAUGUCAUGUUAUCGACAUGUGAAUUCAUAGCAUGUCAGAAGGCAGACCCGGAGAACUGAAACAUCUUAGUACCCGGAGGAAGAGAAAGAAAAAUCGAUUCCCUGAGUAGCGGCGAGCGAAACGGGAAUAGCCCAAACCAACAAGCUUGCUUGUUGGGGUUGUAGGACACUCUAUACGGAGUUACAAAAGAACAUGUUAGACGAAUCAUCUGGAAAGAUGAAUCAAAGAAGGUAAUAAUCCUGUAGUCGAAAACAUAUUCUCUCUUGAGUGGAUCCUGAGUACGACGGAGCACGUGAAAUUCCGUCGGAAUCUGGGAGGACCAUCUCCUAAGGCUAAAUACUCUCUAGUGACCGAUAGUGAACCAGUACCGUGAGGGAAAGGUGAAAAGUACCCCGGAAGGGGAGUGAAAGAGAACUUGAAACCGUGUGCUUACAAGUAGUCAGAGCCCGUUAAUGGGUGAUGGCGUGCCUUUUGUAGAAUGAACCGGCGAGUUACGAUCUGAUGCAAGGUUAAGCAGCAAAUGUGGAGCCGCAGCGAAAGCGAGUCUGAAUAGGGCGUUGAGUAUUUGGUCGUAGACCCGAAACCAGGUGAUCUACCCUUGGUCAGGUUGAAGUUCAGGUAACACUGAAUGGAGGACCGAACCGACUUACGUUGAAAAGUGAGCGGAUGAACUGAGGGUAGCGGAGAAAUUCCAAUCGAACUUGGAGAUAGCUGGUUCUCUCCGAAAUAGCUUUAGGGCUAGCCUCAAGUGAUGAUUAUUGGAGGUAGAGCACUGUUUGGACGAGGGGCCCCUCUCGGGUUACCGAAUUCAGACAAACUCCGAAUGCCAAUUAAUUUAACUUGGGAGUCAGAACAUGGGUGAUAAGGUCCGUGUUCGAAAGGGAAACAGCCCAG
rnacentral:rRNA from 1 species